UGCAGGGACUAUACCACCCCGAAUGCUCCUGAUCUCAUCUGAUCUCGGAAGCUAAGCAGGGUCAGGGGGCAGGCCUGGUUAGUAUUUGGAU
rnacentral:rRNA from 1 species